CUAAUAACCCUUUGGUUAGUACACUAGAGAAAUUGGCUGCCAGCACUGUCUUUUGUGUAAGAUCAAGAGUAUCCAUUGACCUGGAGGUUUUCCUUGCAGACGGGGAUGUAAAAUGUCAGUAAUUGCAAUAAUCUGUGUAACAUAGUUAUGAAUCCCAGUAGCUGGGCACUUAGUGCAUCCUGGGCAAAUGCCACAUCCAAAAUGCAGAAGAAAGUGGUGCCAGACAUCGAAAGUCCCUCUCUGACAUAUGGACUCUUCCAGUGGCUUCUCAUAUCCGCAUUGCUGUCAAGAUAAUCCUUCAGUUCAACUACUUGUCUGAAAUCAGUUCCUGUGGCUCUUGAGGGAUAAUUCAGCCCUAAACAUUUGGAUAGUAACUGAAGAUGAUCCCUGGUUUUGCAUCAAUUUGUUCCCUUUUUUCCCCCUACAGCUGGCAGUGAGAAUGCUCCUGGAGGGGCCACACUUUGAAGAUAACAGAGAUUCUCUUUCUCUCCCCAGGAAACACUGUGUUGCAGCUUUAUGCUGUUUAUUCUCUAAGAGCCAAAUCUUCAGAUGGUGUAAAUUGGCCUAUCUCUGUUGAUUUUAAUGGAACAUGCCAGCUGAGGAUCUCACUCCCCCAGCUUCUAAGUGAUAAGGAGACAUUAAUGGGUCAAGCUAUAGAUUGUUGGGGAAGAGGGCAGAAAAUAUGUGCUGGGAGGGGACAACCAAACCCAGCCACCCACUCAAUUCACAGUUUAGGUCUACAUAAGUAGAUUACAGUCCUUGGACAUAGGCCUUUUGGCUGAAAGAUCGGGAUAGUGUUGGGGGUAGUUUACACCAUAUCCACAGGUAAAAUACACAGUACACUUCUAA